UACGUAGGGUGCAAGCGUUGUCCGGCAUUAUUGGGCGUACAGAGCUCGUAGGCGGUUUGUCGCGUCUGCUGUGAAAACCCGAGGCUCAACCUCGGGCCUGCAGUGGGUACGGGCAGACUAGAGUGCGGUAGGGGAGAUUGGAAUUCCUGGUGUAGCGGUGGAAUGCGCAGAUAUCAGGAGGAACACCAAUGGCGAAGGCAGAUCUCUGGGCCGUAACUGACGCUGAGGAGCGAAAGCAUGGGGAGCGAACAGG
rnacentral:rRNA from 1 species